rnacentral:misc_RNA from 1 species
GAUGAAGAACGUAGCGAAAUGCGAUACGUAAUGUGUAAUGCAGAAUUCAGUGAAUCAUCGAGUCUUUGAACGCACAUUGCGCCCCCUGGUAUUCCGGGGGGCAUGCCUGUCCGAGCGUCAUUGCUGCCCUCAAGCACGGCUUGUGUGUUGGGCCUCCGUCCUCCUCCCCGGGGGACGGGCCCGGAAAGGCAGCGGCGGCACCGCGUCCGGUCCUCGAGCGUAUGGGGCUUCGUCACCCGCUCUUGUAGGCCCGGCGGGCGCUUGCCGACACAUCAAUCUUUUUUCCAGGUUGACCUCGGAUCAGGUAGGGAUACCAGCUGAACUUAAGCAUAUCAAUAAGCGGAGGA